rnacentral:lncRNA from 1 species
AAGUUGUAAAAAUUCAAAUUUAAAUCAAGGAUUUCUUCCUCAAAAUAACGUUAAAACCUCAAAAGAUGGGUGAAAAUGUGCUUUAGGAGCUGAACUAUAUUAAUUGAUACUUUUGGAAGCAAACUAAACGGUUUUAGAUAAGAUUUCCACCAACAAAAAAUCUCUGUCAAAAUUUCAAGGUUAUGUUGUCUCGGUGAACUAAACGAUGGUUAAUUUUAUCACAACAUACAUUGGAGUACACGCCAAAUUUCAACAAUGAGUAAAGUUGGAAAAAUUCAAAUUUAAAUCAAGGAUUUCUUCCUCAAAAUAACGUUAAAACCUCAAACGAUGGAUGAAAAAUGUGCUUUAGGAGCUGAACUACAAUAAUUGAUACAUUUGGAAGUAAACAAAACGGUUUAAGAUAAGAUUUUCACCAACAAAAAAUCUGUCACAAAUUUUAGGUUAUGUUCUCUCGGUGAACUAAAAGAAUGUUAAAAUUAUUACAAUACCUUUCCAUCCUUCAAUUCCUUGGAUUGCUCAUCUUUCUUGUCAUUUAUUUUAGAAACUCGGAUAAAUAUUCUUCCUACUUUUUGAAUUCGUCUUCUCUUGAAUCUUCAAAAACGGAAUAAUAAUUUCAUUAUUAUUUCGAUUUUCACCACCCAAACAUCUUUCUAACAAUUCUUUUGAUGACAAGUCUUCAUAUAUUAGCUUUAUAGUGGUUGCAAGUGUCGGUUGGUGGUCGAAUUCAUCCAGUUUUCUCGUUGAUGCAGUUACAAAUGUAACAAGUUACAAGUAUUGGAGUCGUGGACAAUAAUAAAAAGCUACAAUGAGGAAUUAUGUUAGACACGUAAUGAGAGGUGAUCUAGAAAAAUUUAUAGGAACCCAAGAUAGUCAUUAAGGUGGGAUUUCUUUGCUGAUGGCCAAGUUAUUGUUUUGUGUCUUUUAGAAUUAAGUCUUGUGCAAAACUAACACGAUCGUUUUCAUGAGAAUGCAUAUUGUUAAGACCCAGCAAUCACCCAAUGAUAUACACUUAUCACUGCCUGUGUGGUUGGACUUCUCGAGCGCCACCUCUCCUUGACUAGAGUGGCAGAGAGAGACUAACUUGACUUGACUAGAGUUUCUGACUAGAGUGGCAGAAAGAUGCUUUUACUAAUCGCUAGAAGUCUAAUCAACGACUACUAGGGUAAUAACCAAACUGUUAUGUAACGCCAAAAAGCUUUUUUAUUGCCGCUUCUCGUAUUUCAACCACCAGCGGUCCUUAUCAUUCCAAUCAUCUUCACCCAGUCCUCUUCAUCUCCACAUUGAUAUCGUGGAUCAAUUUUUUCCUAGGCCAAGUUUCAAACCUUAAGUGGGAUUUUCUCUUUACUCAUUCGGCGUAGAUGUCCAUACAAUUUUAUUUUAUUUUUUCUUAUUUCCUCAUUUUCAACUCGGUCCAGCAUCACGACCGAAUUGACCCAGCUUCUCCAAAACAUCAUCUCCGCUACUAGCAGUCUUCGAAUUGUGUCUUUGUCUCUCACCCACACUUCUAACCCAUACGUCAUUAAUGGUUCUAUAAUGGCCAUAAAAAUAUUUUUCUUUUAAAUAUUUAUUGUGCUUUACGUCUUCGUUUACAACUAUCCCAAGGUAUUCGUACCGGUCUAAAUGUUUUAGUAUGUCAGUCUCUAAUUGUAUGUCCUUUCCUGUUCCUCCAAUUAGCAUAUACAGGGUGUACAAAAAGGAUGGAAUAAUGGUUCUACAGC